rnacentral:rRNA from 1 species
CCUACGGGAGGCAGCAGUGAGGAAUAUUGGUCAAUGGGCGGAAGCCUGAACCAGCCAAGUCGCGUGAGGGAUUAAGGCCCUGCGGGUCGUAAACCUCUUUUGCCGGGGUGCAGAGGUCCGCACGUGUCCGGGCCGGGAGAGUACCCGGAGACAAAGCAUCGGCAAACUCCGUGCCAGCAGCCGCGGUAAUACGGAGGAUGCGAGCGUUAUCCGGAUUUAUUGGGGUUAAGGGGUGCGUAGGCGGGCAUUUAAGCCGGCGGGCACAUGUCGGGGCUCAACCCCGGCCUGCCGUCGGAACUGGGUGCCUUGAGUGGGCGAGAAGUAUGCGGAAUGCGUGGUGUAGCGGUGAAAUGCAUAGAUAUCACGCAGAACCCCGAUUGCGAAGGCAGCAUACCGGCGCCCUACUGACGCUGAGGCACGAAAGUGCGGGUAUCGAACAGGAUUAGAUACCCCAGUAGUC